rnacentral:tRNA from 2 species
GGACGAUUAGCUCAGUUGGCUAGAGCGCCUCGUUGACAUCGAGGAGGUCGUUGGUUCAAGUCCAAUAUCGUCCA